rnacentral:rRNA from 1 species
AACGAGAGUUUGAUCCUGGCUCAGGACGAACGCUGGCGGCGUGCCUAAUACAUGCAAGUAGAACGCUUUUUACUUUAGCUUGCUAGAGUAGAAGGAGUUGCGAACGGGUGAGUAACGCGUAGGUAACCUACCUACUAGCGGGGGAUAACUAUUGGAAACGAUAGCUAAUACCGCAUAAGAGUUUUUAACACAUGUUAGAAGCUUGAAAGAUGCAAAUGCAUCACUAGUAGAUGGACCUGCGUUGUAUUAGCUAGUUGGUGGGGUAAAGGCCUACCAAGGCGACGAUACAUAGCCGACCUGAGAGGGUGAACGGCCACACUGGGACUGAGACA